GACGAACGCUGGCGGCGUGCUUAACACAUGCAAGUCGAACGGAAAGGCCUUUUCGGAGGUACUCGAGUGGCGAACGGGUGAGUAACACGUGGGUGAUCUGCCCUGCACUCUGGGAUAAGCCUGGGAAACUGGGUCUAAUACCGGAUAGGACCGCACUUUAGUGUGUGUGGUGGAAAGUUUUUUCGGUGUAGGAUGAGCCCGCGGCCUAUCAGCUUGUUGGUGGGGUAAUGGCCUACCAAGGCGGCGACGGGUAGCCGGACUGAGAGGUUGGUCGGCCACAUUGGGACUGAGAUACGGCCCAGACUUCUACGGGAGGCAGCAGUGGGGAAUAUUGCACAAUGGGCGCAAGCCUGAUGCAGCGACGCCGCGUGGGGGAUGACGGCCUUCGGGUUGUAAACUCCUUUCGCCAGGGACGAAGCGUUUUGUGACGGUACCUGGAGAAGAAGCACCGGCUAACUACGUG
rnacentral:rRNA from 1 species